rnacentral:rRNA from 1 species
AUCCUGGCUUAGGAUGAACGCUGACAGAAUGCUUAACACAUGCAAGUCUACUUGAUCCUUCGGGUGAAGGUGGCGGACGGGUGACGUAACGCGUAAAGAACUUGCCUUACAGACUGGGACAACAUUUGGAAACGAAUGCUAAUACUGGAUAUUAUGAUUGGGUCGCAUGAUCUGGUUAUGAAAGCUAUAUGCGCUGUGAGAGAGCUUUGCGUCCCAUUAGUUAGUUGGUGAGGUAACGGCUCACCAAGACGAUGAUGGGUAGCCGGCCUGAGAGGGUGAACGGCCACAAGGGGACUGAGACACGGCCCUUACUCCUACGGGAGGCAGCAGUGGGGAAUAUUGGACAAUGGACCAAAAGUCUGAUCCAGCAAAUUCUGUGUGCACGAUGAAGUUUUUCGGAAUGUAAAGUGCUUUCAGUUGGGAAGAAGUCAGUGACGGUACCAACAGAAGAAGCGACGGCUAAAUACGUGCCAGCAGCCGC